UCUGCAACCGACACCACAGCUCACAACAAUGCUGGAUCCUUAACCCACUGAGUGAAGCCAGGGAUAGAACCCACGUCCUCACAGAUACUAGUCGGGUUUGUUUCCACUGACCACUAUGGGAACUUUCUAUAAGUCAAAUCGUUAUGCUCGCUGUAUACCUUAAACUUAUACAGUGAUGUAUGCCAACUGUACCUCAGUAAAACUGGUAGCAAAAAUGUUUAUCAGGGUAACCAAAUUGAAUAGUUCACAAGGGAAAGAAUUCUAGCUAAUAAAAUAACCAUUUUGCAGCCCUAAUGAACUAAUAGAAAAUGAACACAAUAGAAAAUAAAGAAAUGAAUAUGGAUGAAACUAUUAAAUAAUAGUUAAAUGUGGAACUAUACAAUUGCAGAGACAGGCUGUCACCACCUGAGCCCACUGAUCACUAAACUUGGGACAAUGAGCUAUUCUGGGUCUCCUAGUGUGAUGCCAACACACAUCACUUCCUAGGAAAGUGCAUCUGAGUAUAAACCAGCCUCUAGAGCCAACCUCAAUUUACAAGAUACAGAAGAGAGAGGAACAAGUUAAAUGACACCAAAGGUAGCAGACACAGCCACAAAGUAGGGCAUUUUACAAGACAACCGACCCAGUUUUUGCAACCAGUCAUGUCAGGGAAAAGUGAAGAAGGCAGGGGCACACCCUAGGCUGGCUAUUCGAGACUUAAAUAUCAUACAAGCACAUUUCGUGUGUAGAUUUUGUAUAUAUUCUGAGUUGUACGUAUUCCAAUGUCUUUUGGACAAUCAGAGAAAUUCGACUCUGGACUAAGUACUAGAUAAUAACAGGGCCUAGUUAAUUUUGUCAAGUGUGAAAAUAGCAUUGAAGUUAUGUAAGAAAUAAGUCUAGUGUUUGAGAACUGUACAUUGAGAUAUAUAAGAGUGAACAGGGGGAGUUCCCAUUGUGGCUCAGUGGAUCGUGAGCCUGACUGGUAUCCAUGAGGAUGCAGUUUGAUCCCUGGCCUCACUCAGUGGGUUAAGGAUCUGGUGUUGCUCUGAGCUGCCGUGUACAUCGCAGACUUGGCUAGUAUCCUGAGUUGCUGUGGUGUAGGCAGGCAGCUGCAGCUCCGAUUUGACCCCUAGCCUAGGAACUUCCAUAUGCUGCAGGUGUGGCUUUAGGAAGCAAGGAGAAAGAAAAAGAAAAAAAAAAAAAAAAAAGAAUGACCAGGCAUAAAGUCUGCAGCAGAGGAUAAUAGGGAUAAUGCAAAUGAGACAGGAUCUUGGUAAUUGUUGAAUCCAGUAUGAAGGGAUAUGGGAGGUCUUCGUUCUAUUUUCACUUCACAGAAUAUCUGAAUAUUUUCAUAACAAAUUCUAAAAGAGACUUUUAAAAAGAGAUAAUGUGUGGGAGAGUAGCACAGGGAUAAAUAUUAGUUUCUCUCCUUCCCAGUGGCAGGUGUAAGGCACGUGGGUGGAAGAGAAAAUCCCCUCGGUGUUUUAUUAAAAACACUCUCUGGGACUUGUUCAUUUAAGGAACUACCAAAAUUGCCCUCAGCGCGGUAUGUAGGCCACGCCCCACAAGGGAAACGACUUUAGAGCGAAGAGAAAAAACUCAAAGUGGCAACCUGGUCACAGACAGAAACUCAGCAAAACCAAAUAUCUGAGAAGGACUUUUUUUUUUUUUUCCAACUACACAAUUAUUUUCGAUCUAUUAAAAAGAAAAUCCCCGAGGGAGUAGAUGCAAUUUUUGUAGGAAGAGAGUUACCUGCGCUAGUUAAAUCGAGCCAAAACAAAGGCAUUCUUCACAGUAACUCCCCGAGAGCAGCAUUUAAGGAGACUGUAAUUAGGUAAUUAGACCUGGGAUUCGCCGCAGAGCCUCGCGUGCCCCCGGGUGUUAAUGACUCCAGCUCCGCUGCUGUGUGGCGGCUCUCCGCGGUAAACCUGGCCUUUAAUUUUCUUUCUUUUUUUUUUUUUAGGGCCGCACCCAAGGUUCCCAGGAUGGGGGGGGAGGGGGUCGAAUCGGAGCUACAGCUGCCGGCCACAGCAAGGCCAGAUCCUUAACCCACUGAACAAGGCCAGGGAUCGAACCCUCAACCUCAUGAUUACUAGCCGGAUUCGUUUCUGCUGUGCCACAAUGGGAACUCCGACCUAGCCUGGCACAGGGACUGAUUCCUCUGGCCUCAGCUGCUCUUGGGGAGCAUCCUUACCCCCACGUCCGCAGGGCCCAUCGCAGCCGGGACUGGUGGGUGCGUGGGAAGCUGGGCUCGCCCUGGUCCCCCUGCGCAGCCGCUCCCGACUCCUGGCCUCCACCCCUAAACUGCCCGCGCAUCGUUAUCCACGCUUAGCGUCCCCCAAUCCAAGGACACGGGCACCCGCGGAUCAUCCGAAACUGUGCGGGGUUCUGACCCUGCACCAGGCAAAGUGACUUUUCCCUCUGAAUCGUUCGCUUAAUACAGUUAAUUCGUACUCUUUAUCAAAAACAUGAACUGCGGAAAGGAAAAAGAACUAAGGUAUGUACGUCCCUACCGGCCAGAAAUACUUUUAGCAUUCUGAUGUAUUUCCUUUCAGUCAAAAAUACAUUACUGGGAUACCAGAGAUAAUACUUGAGACUAAUUUUUCACUUUAUGCCAUUAUUGAGCACUUAACUCCUGCCAUCAAACAGCCUAACAAAAUGUGCAAUGCUGAUAAAAGUUCUCCCGAGGAAUGCACAACUCCCUCACGGUUGAUACUUGGAUAAUUUCCUAUUUUUGACUGACACGGGGAAGUGUUCGGUCAGAUUUUGCCACUUGCCCCUCUCGCGCCAGCGGCGUACGGGCCGGGGUGGAGGAGGAGCGGGUCACAGUUCCCGGGACUGGAGCGCCGGGGCCUCGCGCGGGGCACCCUCCAGGCUCUGUGACAUCAGCCCUAGCCCCCGCCCCCUCCGACGGAGCGGAUCGAAGCGCGGGGUGGGGAUCUCCAGACACGCGCGCGCCGGGGCGCGGGCGGGCUGCGGGGCAGCCCGACGCGAUGGAAUCGGCCUUUUCCAGGGUUCGGGCUCCGGCCCAGGCGCCACCACCCAAGGCGUGGUCGCCGGUGGGCUCCGAGGAGGAGCUCUAUGACUGCCCGGAUUACUACUACCUGCGCGACUUUCCAGCCUGCGGGGCGGGGCGCAGCAAGGGCCGGACGCGGCGCGAGCGGGAACUGCGCACCAACUGGCUGGUGCCCGGCGGCCACGAGCGUAAGAUCGCACAGAAGCUCCUAAACGGCCAGCGCAAGCGUCGCCAGCGGCAGCUGCAGCCCAGACCGCGCACCGGUCUCGCCUGAGCGCCGGUGCGUGCCAACAGCCACCGGCCAGGGCCCAGGGGAGCCGCAUGACGCUCCCGUCCGCCCUGCCAACUCGACCCCGGCACAGUCGCCCCUUUCUGAUGCUGCCCCGCGUCGCGAGUCAUUAGCUGGGCCCCACCUUCUCUCCGGACUGCAGUUGGAAUCUUGACACCCGAAGGACCUGAUAAAAGUAUUUUCUCUGCCUCCAGCUGUAACUGUGGUCCUAAGGGGGACAGUCCAUGUUGGUCAACAGACCUCCUUUUCGACAUGACUUAAGUUUACUGCUUCAGUAUCUUUUCCUUGCUGAUUGUUAAGUAACAUCCAAGUGGGUAUGCCUGUUUAGGGUUUUUAAUUAAAAGAGAGAAGCAAGAA